rnacentral:piRNA from 1 species
CAAGUAACACCUCAGGAAAAAGAAGCU